GACAGAGGUGCCGAGCGUUAGACGGAAUCACUGGGCUUAAAGCGUGUGUAGGCGGGCCGUUAAGUAUCUUGUGAAAUCCCCCGGCUCAACCGGGGAAUGGCUGGAUAUACUGGCGGUCUUGAGCGAUCUAGGGGCAGAUGGAACAAGUGGUGGAGCGGUGAAAUGCGUAGAUAUCACUUGGAACGCCAAAGGUGAAAACAGUCUGCUGGGGAUCUGCUGACGCUGAGACACGAAAGCCAGGGGAGCGAACGGG
rnacentral:rRNA from 1 species